GAUGAACGCUGGCGGCGUGCCUAAUACAUGCAAGUCGAGCGAAUGGAUUGAGAGCUUGCUCUUAUGAAGUUAGCGGCGGACGGGUGAGUAACAUGUGGGUAACCUGCCCAUAAGACUGGGAUAACUCCGGGAAACCGGGGCUAAUACCGGAUAACAUUUUGAACCGCAUGGUUCGAAAUUGAAAGGCGGCUUCGGCUGUCACUUAUGGAUGGACCCGCGUCGCAUUAGCUAGUUGGUGAGGUAACGGCUCACCAAGGCAACGAUGCGUAGCCGACCUGGGAGGGUCAUCGGCCCGACUGGGACUGAGACACGGCCCAGAGUCCUACGGGGUGCAGCAGUAGCGAAUCUUCCGCAAUGGACGAAAGUCGGACGGAGCAACGCCGCGUGAGUGAUGAAGGCUUUCGGGUCGUAAAACGCUGUUGUUAGGGAAGAACAAGUGCUAGUUGAAUAAGCUGGCACCUUGACGGUACCUAACCAGAAAGCCACGGCUAACUACGUGCCAGCAGCCGCGGUAA
rnacentral:rRNA from 1 species